AACCUUUUAAUACUUUGUUAAAGUUCUUUGCAUUCCUGACCACACUGUGCUACGCAGGCAGCACUUACCUGAGCUACCGUUCCUGGAAAGCCACAGAGCAGUCACCAGAGGAAACCUAAUACCCGUGUCGUCUCACCUUUCAUAACUUGGCAAGAGGCCGGCUCAGGAGGAGUUCCAUGUGCUCAUAGCUGAUAAUUCUAUAAUUCAUGCAGUUGAUGUUAAACUAAUAGCUCAAUUAAUUUCUCUUUCU